ACUUACUUGUUCAACAAUGCGAGGAUUGUAUGGAAAUUAUAAUCGCAUGCUGAUCAAGUGUGUCAUA
rnacentral:pre_miRNA from 1 species